GCAUUGCUGAAGAGAGUCCCAUACUAGGACGAAACGGCCGUCCAGUGC
rnacentral:hammerhead_ribozyme from 1 species